rnacentral:rRNA from 1 species
GUGUCAGCAGCCGCGGUAAUACGGAGGGUGCAAGCGUUAUUCGGAAUUACUGGGCGUAAAGCGCGCGUAGGCGGCUAUGCAAGUUGGGAGUGAAAUCCCGGGGCUUAACCUCGGAAUUGCUUUCAAAACUGUGUAGCUGGAGUAUGGUAGGGGACAGUGGAAUUCCUAGUGUAGAGGUGAAAUUCGUAGAUAUUAGGAGGAACACCAGUGGCGAAAGCGACUGUCUGGGCCAUUACUGACGCUGAGGCGCGAAAGCGUGGGGAGCAAACAGGAUUAGAAACCCCAGUAGUCC